rnacentral:rRNA from 1 species
CCCGGUAAACGGCGGCCGUAACUAUAACGGUCCUAAGGUAGCGAAAUUCCUUGUCGGGUAAGUUCCGACCUGCACGAAUGGCGUAAUGAUGGCCACACUGUCUCCUCCAGAGACUCAGCGAAGUUGAAAUGUUUGUGAUGAUGCAAUCUCCCCGCGGAAAGACGGAAAGACCCCAUGAACCUUUACUGUAGCUUUGUAUUGGACUUUGAACGGAUCUGUGUAGGAUAGGUGGGAGGCUUUGAAGCCAGGACGCUAGUUCUGGUGGAGCCGACGUUGAAAUACCACCCUGGUGCGUUUGAGGUUCUAACCUAGGUCCCUAAUCGGGAUCGGGGACAGUGCAUGGUAGGCAGUUUGACUGGGGCGGUCUCCUCCCAAAGCGUAACGGAGGAGUUCGAAGGUACGCUAGGUACGGUCGGACAUCGUGCUAAUAGUGCAAUGGCAUAAGCGUGCUUAACUGCGAGACUGACAAGUCGAGCAGAUGCGAAAGCAGGACAUAGUGAUCCGGUGGUUCUGUAUGGAAGGGCCAUCGCUCAACGGAUAAAAGGUACUCUGGGGAUAACAGGCUGAUACCGCCCAAGAGUUCAUAUCGACGGCGGUGUUUGGCACCUCGAUGUCGGCUCAUCGCAUCCUGGGGCUGUAGUCGGUCCCAAGGGUAUGGCUGUUCGCCAUUUAAAGAGGUACGUGAGCUGGGUUUAAAACGUCGUGAGACAGUUUUGUCCCUAUCUUCCGUGGGCGCUGCAGAUUUGAGGAAGCCUGCUCCUAGUACGAGAGGACCGGAGUGGACACACCUCUGGUGUACCUGUUGUCACGCCAGUGGCAUCGCAGGGUAGCUACGUGUGGAAGAGAUAACCGCUGAAAGCAUCUAAGCGGGAAACUCGUUUCAAGAUGAGAUCUGCCGGGGCCUUCGAGCCCCCUGAAGGGUCGUUGUAGACCACGACGUUGAUAGGCUGGGUGUGGAAGCGCAGUAAUGCGUUAAGCUAACCAGUACUAAUUGCCCGUGCGGCUUGACCCU